rnacentral:misc_RNA from 1 species
CCGAGUUUACAAUCCCAAACCCCUUGUGAACUAUACCACUUGAUUGCCUCGGGCGGAUCAGCCCGCUCCCGGUAAAACGGGACGGCCCGCCAGAGGACCCCUAUAAACUCUGUUUCUAUAUGUAACUUCUGAGUUAAACCAUAAUAAAUCA